CCUACCCGCCCCGCAGUGCCGGCCGCGCCCGCCCGCAAGCGGCUCUUCCGCAUCCAGAAGGACGCUACCGGACAGCCCGUGCGGAAGUUUGAGCUGGAUCCAGUGACGCGCGAGGUGCUGGGGGAGGUGCCUCUGGUCGGCGCCCCGCUCACCUCUCCCGGGCAGCCGAUGGCCCGGCGUGUGGUGCUGCCAACUCAGCCGCGCUAGGCUGACCUCCGAGCGCCGCCAUACGGGCCGCACCAGCCGGCGGGCGUCGGACGCCAGUGAGCGGCGCUCACCUGAAACGCUGGAGAGUGGCCGGUGCCGCCACACGGGCCCGUCCGUGACCCGGAGGUGCCAGGCCGGCCGCGGCACGCCCCGCCAUGCUGACGACGGCGGGACUGGGGCAGCCUUGUACAAUGCGCAGUGGGGAGGCUUGCAGGAUUCGCUGUUCGGAGCGCGGUGCUGGUCGUCCGCGACCGGAAGCAGAUGUAGCCAAGCGUCGCCAAUCGGACGAACUUGUAAGUGGUGGCCCUCGAAUGUGCGUAUCGGAAGUGUUUUGUGCUUCAGUGAGCUCCACGCCGGCAGUUUGUCUUUGUCCUUUGGCGCGAUGUGAUCUCGAGCACGUGUCUGGACCAGGCGUGGACGAGAUCCACUGAAUGUGAAUAGGACAAAAUAUAAGUUAACAAAAAGUUGUAUUUCUGCAUGUUUGUGCCUGUGUUUCCAAGAUGGACAUAGGGUCAUUCUACGUCGAAAUGACUAUGCCCAUGUGAAAGUGUAAGCAUCCACUCAGCGAUGAGAUAGAAGAACGUGGUAGUGAGGUGGACUCAGACGAGUUUUGCCUCGUUCCGACAUGCUUGAUCGGAACAACUGCAGCGUCCCUGGCGCUAUAUUCUGUUUUGUCGUGUUUUAUCAUACUUCAGAUUUGCACUGUUCACCACGGGUUUCCUUUUCUAAUAGCUGUCCAAGCGUUGAGCGGUAAUUAUACAACAUGCGUGAUGAUGCCAAUGGUAAAUUAAUGCCAUGCUUGGUCAUAGCAACAUCGGGUCAAAUAUACAGCUGGUGUUCGCGAUAGCAAAUCACUAGUCGCACCGACUGAUGCGCACAAGUCGGAGGCGACGGUCGAAUGUUACUGGCGUUCGUUCAUGUGGAGGCCCUAUGUGCCUGCUCGGCAUCAGGGAGAUUUGGGGCCCUGGUGUUCAAGGAGUCCGACAAUACACAUUUCCAGAAG